rnacentral:rRNA from 1 species
AGAGUUUGAUCAUGGCUCAGAGUGAACGCUGGCGGCGUGCUUAACACAUGCAAGUCGAACGAGAGCGGGUUAUAGCUUGCUAUAUCUGUCAGCUAAGUGGCGCACGGGUGAGUAAUAUAUAGUUAAUCUGCCCUAGAGAAAGGGAUAACGUUUGGAAACGAGACGCUAACACCUUAUAUGCCUUUAUUACAUAAGUCUGCAAGGGAAACAUUUAUGGCUAUAGGAUGAGUCUGCGUCGUAUUAGCUAGUUGGUGAGGUAAUGGCUCACCAAGGCGAACUGAUGCCUAGACGGCUUGAGAGGAUGAUCAGUCACACUGGAAAA